AACCAUGAUUUGGGCACGCACUUAGAAGAUACUUAAACCUCCCCCAGAAUUUAAAGAAUGUUUCUUCCCAUUUCUGUGAAAAGUUUAUGAUGGCCCUUCUAAGGUU